rnacentral:misc_RNA from 1 species
GAUGAAGAACGCAGCGAAAUGCGAUAAGUAAUGUGAAUUGCAGAAUUCAGUGAAUCAUCGAAUCUUUGAACGCACAUUGCGCCCGCCAGUAUUCUGGCGGGCAUGCCUGUCCGAGCGUCAUUUCAACCCUCGAACCCCUCCGGGGGGUCGGCGUUGGGGACCUCGGGAGCCCCUAAGACGGGAUCCCGGCCCCGAAAUACAGUGGCGGUCUCGCCGCAGCCUCUCCUGCGCAGUAGUUUGCACAACUCGCACCGGGAGCGCGGCGCGUCCACGUCCGUAAAACACCCAACUUCUGAAAUGUUGACCUCGGAUCAGGUAGGAAUACCUGCUGAACUUAAGCAUAUCAAUAAGCGGAGGA